rfam:Capsicum annuum cultivar Zunla-1 unplaced genomic scaffold scaffold2697, whole genome shotgun sequence
UGCCUGGUUUAUACUUCCAGUAGUCAUAUGCUUGUCUCAAAGAUUAAGCCAUGCAUGUGUAAGUAUGAAUAAAUUCAGACUGUGAAACUGCGAAUGGCUCAUUAAAUCAGUUAUAGUUUGUUUGAUGGUAUCUACUACUCGGAUAACUGUAGUAAUUCUAGAGCUAAUACAUGCAACAAACCCCUACUUCUAGAUGGGAUGCAUUUACUAGAUAAAAGGUCAUUCAUGAUAACACAACGGAUCACACAACCAUCGUGCCGGUGAUGCAUCGUUUAAAUUUCUGUCCUAUUAAGUUUUAAUGGUAGGAUAGUGGCCAACCAUGGUGGUGAUGGGUGACUGAGAAUUAGGGUUUUAUUUUGGAGAGAGAGCCUUAGAAAUGGCUACCACAUCUAAGGAAGGCAGCAGGCGCGCAAAUUAUCCAAUCCUGACAGGGGAGGUAGUGACAAUAAAUAACAAUACCGGGAUCAAUGAGUCUGGUAUUUGGAAUGAGUACAAUCUAAAUCCCUUAACGAGGAUCCAUUGGAGGGAGAGUCUGGUGCCGACAGAAGUGGUAAUUCCAGUACCAAUAGCUUAUAUUUAAGUUGUUGCAGUUAAAAAGCUCAAAGUUGAACUUUGGGAUUGGCUGGCCGGUCUACCUAUGGUGUGAAUUGGUCGUCUUGUCCUUUCUGUCGGCGAUGCGCUCCUGGCCUUAACUGGCCGGGUCGUGCCUCCAGCACUGUUACUUUGAAAAAAUUAGAGUGCUUAAAGUAAGCCUACACUCUGUAUACAUUAGCAUGGGAUAACAUUAUAGGAUUUUGGUCCUAUUACAUUAGCCUUCGGGAUCGGAGUAAUGAUUAACAGGGAUAGUCGGGGGCAUUCGUAUUUUAAAGUCAGAGGUGAAAUUAUUGGAUUUAUGAAAUACGAACAACUGUGAAAUCAUUUUCUAAGGAUGUUUUCAUUAAUCAAGAACGAAAUUUGGGGGCUCAAAGGCGAUCAGAUACUAUCCUAGUCUCAUUCAUAAAUGAUGCCAACCAGGUAUCGGCGGAUAUUACUAUUAGGAUUCCGACGGCACCUUAUGAGAAAUCAAUGUUUUUGGGUUCCGGGGGGAGUAUUGUCGCAAGGAUGAAACUUAAAGGAAUUGUCAGAAGGGCACCAAUAGGAGUGGAGCCUGCGACUUAAUUUGACUCAACACGAGGAAACUUAUCAGGUAUAAACGUAGUAAGGAUUGACAAACGAAGACCUCUUUCUUGAUUCUAUUGGUGGUGGUGCAUGGCCGUUUUUAGUUGGUGGAGUGAUUUUUCUAGUUAAUUCCGUUAACGAAUGAGACCUCAGCCUACUGACUAGCUAUGCAGAGGUAUCCCUUCGCGGCCAGCUUCUUAGAGGGACUACGACCUUUUAGACCGCGAAAGUUUGAGGCAAUAACAGGUUUGUGAUGCCCUUAGAUGUUCUGGACCACACCAGCGCUAUACUGAUGUAUUCAAUGAGUUUAUAGCCUUGGCCAACAGGCCUAGGUAGAUCAUUCCAAUUGGUGGUCUUCAACGAGGAAUUCCUUGUAAGCGCCAGUCAUCAACAUGCGUUGACUACGUCCCUGCCCUUUGUACACUCCGCCUGUCACUCCUGCCAAUUGAAUGAUCCAGGUGAAAUGUUCGGAUCGCAGCGACGUGGGCGGUUCGCUGCCCGCGGCGUCGCGAGAAGUCCAUUGAAACUUAACAUUUAAAGAAGGAGAAUUCGUAACAAGGUUUCCGUAGGUGAACCUGCGGAAGGAUCAUUG